UACUCCCUCUCCCUCCUCAGGCCCUCCUUCAAGGCUGAUGAUUGCAAUAAUUGUAAUUGGACUUGUAAUCACGCUGUCCUAAUCGGAUGUAUGGUAUGGUGCCUGCUUGAAAGGUCUCUUUAAUGAGUGCUGGCACAAGGUGAUCGGUUUCUCCAGCAUCUGGCGGCCUCAGACCCUCAGUAACUGCAUCACAACAAAGCCCAGGGUGGACACGGAAAAGAAGCUGACAGAAGACAACGCCCAGUCCCGAGAUGCAGCAAGCAGACUGCCUGUUGAAACCAGCAGCCCCUGAAGGAUCUCAGAGGAGAAGAUGGCUGCUGGUUCCAACAGACGCCACUGAAAGGGAUCUUCCCGAUCCAGGGAUCGAACCCGAGUGUCCUGUGUCUCCUGCACUGCAUGCGAGUUCUUUGCCUGCUGAGCCAUCCGGGAAGCAUUACUGCUUUAUGCCAAUGCAAAUGUUACAAUUUAAAGUUUUACUUGAAGACUGGAUGCCUGUUCAGGUUUCUCCUCAGUACUGAAUUUGUGACCAAAUUAAAUAUGCAAUUUCCACAUGUACACCCGUGGUGGAUUCAUGUUGAUGUAUGGCAAAACCAAUACAGUAUUGUAAAGUAAUUAGCCUCUAGUUAAAAUAAAUAAAUUUAAAUUAAAAAAAUUUUUAAAAAG
rnacentral:lncRNA from 1 species